rnacentral:rRNA from 1 species
UACGAGGGGGGCAAAUGUUGUUCGGAAUCACUGGGCGUAAAGGGAGCGUAGGCGGGUUCUUAAGUUAGGUGUUUAAUCCCGGGGCCCAACCCCGGACCGGCACUUAAAACUGGGAAUCUUGAAUAGUGGAGAGGUCAGUGGAAUUGGAGGUGUAGCGGUGGAAUGCGUAGAGAUCUCCAAGAACACCAGUUGCGAAGGCGGCUGACUGGACACAUAUUGACGCUGAGGCUCGAAAGCAUGGGGAGCAAACGGG